AGGGAUGACGGCCUUCGGGUUGUAAACCUCUUUUAGCAGGGAAGAAGCGAGAGUGACGGUACCUGCAGAAAAAGCACCGGCUAACUACGAGCAAGCAGCCGCGGUAAUACGUAGGGUGCAAGCGUUAUCCGGAAUUAUUGGGCGUAAAGAGCUCGUAGGCGGUUUGUCGCGUCUGCUGUGAAAUCCCGAGGCUCAACCUCGGGCCUGCAGUGGGUACGGGCAGACUAGAGUGCGGUAGGGGAGAUUGGAAUUCCUGGUGUAGCGGUGGAAUGCGCAGAUAUCAGGAGGAACACCGAUGGCGAAGGCAGAUCUCUGGGCCGUAACUGACGCUGAGGAGCGAAAGGGUGGGGAGCAAACAGGCUUAGAUACCCUGGUAGUCCACCCCGUAAACGUUGGGAACUAGUUGUGGGGUCCUUUCCCGGAAUUCCGUGACGCAGCUAACGCAUUAAGUUCCCCGCCUGGGGAGUACGGCCGCAAGGCUAAAACUCAAAGGAAUUGACGGGGACCCGCACAAGCGGCGGAGCAUGCGGAUUAAUUCGAUGCAACGCGAAGAACCUUACCAGGCUUGACAUACACCAGAACACCGUAGAAUACGGGACUCUUGGACACUGGUGAA
rnacentral:rRNA from 1 species